CUGCUCGCCUCCGCUCACCUGCGUGCUCCGGCAACAGCCGCUUUCGGACUUCGGUUUCCCUCCACCGGCGCUCCAAAGAACGUUGACGAAUAUACAGAUCAGCUGACCAAGAAUGAAUUAUCAUCACCACCAAAAAAGAUGAAGCACACCCAGGUUAGCAAAAGCAUGCCAGAUUCUACAUAUUCAAAGAAUGACAACAUUUAG
rnacentral:misc_RNA from 1 species